rnacentral:rRNA from 1 species
AUUGAACGCUGGCGGCAGGCCUAACACAUGCAAGUCGAGCGGCAGCGGGAAAGUAGCUUGCUACUUUUGCCGGCGAGCGGCGGACGGGUGAGUAAUGCCUGGGGAUCUGCCCAGUCGAGGGGGAUAACAGUUGGAAACGACUGCUAAUACCGCAUACGCCCUGCGGGGGAAAGGAGGGGACCUUCGGGCCUUUCGCGAUUGGAUGAAGCCAGGUGGGAGUAGCUAGUUGGUGGGGUAAUGGCUCACCAAGGCGACGAUCCCUAGCUGGUGUGAGAGGAUGAUCAGCCACACUGGAACUGAGACACGGUCCAGACUCCUACGGGAGGCAGCAGUGGGGAAUAUUGCACAAUGGGGGAAACCCUGAUGCAGCCAUGCCGCGUGUGUGAAGAAGGCCUUCGGGUUGUAAAGCACUUUCAGCGAGGAGGAAAGGUUGUUGGCUAAUAUCCAGCAACUGUGACGUUACUCGCAGAAGAAGCACCGGCUAACUCCGUGCCAGCCGCCGCAGUAA